GUUCUAUGAAACACGACUGUUGAAGGGAGACCUGUAAACCCUCAACCAACUGAUUGAACACUACCAAACCCCUGGACAACAAACUGAGAGUUUGAGAUAUCAAGAGAAAGAUAAAGAAGACUACACCUCCUGACUUAAUUACACCCCUACCUACACACACACACGUCCUCUUCUAGCAUGACAGAUAUGCACGACCACCAUGACGAGGGACUGGAGUUGGGAGAAGGAGGAGAGGAGAUGCUCAUUAAUCCUAACUACAUCAUCACCAUGAAGUCUAUUGGAAUUCUCGUCAUGAUGGUUCUGACAACAGUUUUCUGUGUGCUACCCUAUAAAACGUACUCCUGCGAACACAGACAGAGGCUCAUAUCAUUUGCUAACUGUUUCGGUGGUGGUGUUCUGUUUGGGACCAUCUUCCUUCAUCUUAUUCCUGAGGUGUCUCAACAGAUGAAUCAGUAUCUGCUGCAGACUGGUCAAGAAAUGCCUGUUCCUCUUGCUGAAACCCUAGAGGUGUUAGGAUUCUGUCUGAUCCUGUUUCUAGAGACGCUCUUUGACCAGCUAUCAGUACGGAAGUUGAAGAAGGGCGUGUUCGCAGAGGACUGUGAGAAGUGCGAGAAGAAACACAACGACCUGCACAUGUUGGAGAAUAUCAGCCCUGACCAGUGCAACAACCUACCUCCCGUCGAAACAACGGACGUGAUCCUACAAGCUGACAAGAACUCUCUUCUGAUGCCUUCCAACACUCCUAAAAGAUGUGUCGUAGAAAAGAGACAUAACAUUGGCAUACUACUCGCUUCACUCUUUACUCACUCCGUCUUCGAGGGGGGUGCAGUAGGUGUGGAGAGACAAGCAGAGACUAUAAUGGGUCUGAUGGGCGCUGUUCUAAUUCACAAAUGUGCUAUAGCUCUGACCCUGGGGUCGAGAUUGGUAACCCAAGAAAUACAGUUCAAGAAAGGGUGCGUGUAUGCGGUUAUCUUGUCUGUCGGGACCCCUAUUGGUAUUGUACUGGGUGUAGCUGUUGAAGCUAAGUUGACUGGAUCCACUCUCCUUAUUACGACUGCUGUCAUUCAGGCACUAGGAACCGGUAUUUUCCUCUACAUCACCUUUGCAGAAAUCCUUUUCCCGGAGCUAAAAAACAAGCAAGACAUGAAGUAUAAGAUCCCUUGUAUCUGCUUUGGGAUCUUUAUCAUUGGGCUGGCUUCUCUGCUUCACACCCACACUCACGCGCACGGAGUGGGACAUCAUGACGAGGACCACCUUGACGAUCUGGGAAAUCACCUGGACCACGAUUAGUCCCCCCGCAUCAAACUAGGAUAUAGGAACUGUAUUUGUAACGUUAACAAGCCACACCCAAAUAAGGAAUGUUGAAAUUUUGAUCACUGCUGCUGCUGACGUAGUGAUGCCACUUCAAUUAUCAUGUUCUUGAAAUCAGGACAUUAUGCAAUGUUUAGCGAGAUCCUCGGUUUUAUUCAUUCCAACAAAGUUGCUAACAGAUAAUGGUAAUUUUGAGUUGAACAAUGCAGUAGUAAGAAAACAUACUGGGUCCCUAGCUUCAAAUUCUCGUCACCAAAGGUGCAGAACUGCUUUGUUUCCUGAGUACAUAAUGUAAUGUACUCGCAGUAAUGUCGAAGCUCCUAAAAUCAUUCCUUAUUUGGCUGAUGUAGCAACUCCCGCACCAUCAAUUCACGAAUUUUAUUUUUAUAGAAAACAUCGAAGAUGCUUAGCACUUCACACAAUAUUUUAAAUAGGGAAUGUCAAGUGAGCUUGGGAAUAUUGGCCAUAGAGUCUCCACAAUGAUUAUUUUUGGCUAGAUUUUAGGUUUUUUGCACGUAUUUUCAGUUGAAAAUGUAUAUAAAUAUUAAACGGAAAGCGAAACAAUUAUUUUUUAUCGUUAAUAGCUCAUCAAUUGUUAUAUAUUGCUGUAUUAUAAUGUGUAUCCGAUGGAAGAUGGAGGAAUGAUUUGGUUUUUAUUUAGCUUUGGGGGUAAUCAUGUGAGCAGCUGAAGAGUACUAUUUUUUAUCAUAAGAAUUGUUGGUUUUCUACUCUACAUUUUUCUGGUUGUUUACACUUUACAUUAUCGACAGACAGGAAAGGGAUCCAAACUUGCCAGGUGUAUUCAAUUAUGAAGAUUCUGGCUGACUCUUACUUAGAUAACCCUUCUGUUUGUCUUAACCUUUAGUAUUUAUUAAUAGUAAAGCUUAAUAGUAUGUAUCUCUCGUGCAUAGAUUACCCUUUUUUCUUAUCCUUUAGUAUUUAUUAAUAGUAACUCUUAAUUUAUUCUCUUUUCUUAAUUAAAUUUUAGUUUUGUAAUUGCCGCAAAGGACUCUAAUAUGAAUGUUACGAAAAUUACAAAAUCUUAAAAUCAAGUUACGUCUCGAAGUGUCAAUAAAACUGAUUUUUCGUAACAUUUAUCAUAAAUAUUUUAAAAGUAAUGUAUGCUCCUCAUAAGGGCUCUCUCUUACAAAGACUUAUGAUUAUGAAGUUUCUCAAUCUGAUGAACCUUUCAAAGUGAUACGAAAACAAUUAAAUACGGUUUCAUAGAUCUGAUUAAUUAUGGUUUAUUGAAAACUUGUCGAUGUUAUCUUAAUUAUUUAUAUAAUCCAUCAAAAAUUAUGUAUUCUUUUACGAAUUGAUUUCAAAAGAUAGUUUUGUAAA